rnacentral:rRNA from 1 species
CCUACGGGAGGCAGCAGUGGGGAAUAUUGCACGAAUGGGCGAAAGCCUGAUGCAGCGAUGCCGCGUGCGGGAAGAAGGCCUUAGGGUUGUAAACCGCUUUCAGUAGGGAAGAAAAUGACGGUACCUACAGAAGAAGGUGCGGCCAACUACGUGCCAGCAGCCGCGGCGACACGUAGGCACCAAGCGUUGUCCGGAUUUAUUGGGCGUAAAGAGCUCGUAGGCGGUUUGGUAAGUCGGGUGUGAAAACUCUGGGCUCAACCCAGAGAGGCCACUCGAUACUGCUAUGACUUGAGUACGGUAGGGGAGUGGGGAAUUUCUAGUGUAGCGGUGAAAUGCGCAGAUAUUAGAAGGAACACCAGUGGCGAAGGCGCCACUCUGGGCCGUAACUGACGCUGAGGAGCGAAAGCAUGGGUAGCAAACAGGAUUAGGAUACCCUGGUAGUCCAUGCCGUAAACGUUGGGCACUAGGUGUGGGUCUCAACCAACGAGAGUCCGCGCCGUCGCUAACGCAUUAAGUAGCCCCGCCUGGGGAGUACCGGUCGCGAAGACGUAAAACUCAAAAUGAAAUUGAACGG